rnacentral:rRNA from 1 species
CAGUAGCCGCGGGAAAACAGAGGGUGCAAGCGUUAAUCGGAAUUACUGGGCGUAAAGCGCGCGUAGGUGGUUUGUUAAGUUGGAUGUGAAAUCCCCGGGCUCAACCUGGGAACUGCAUCCAAAACUGGCAAGCUAGAGUAUGGUAGAGGGUGGUGGAAUUUCCUGUGUAGCGGUGAAAUGCGUAGAUAUAGGAAGGAACACCAGUGGCGAAGGCGACCACCUGGACUGAUACUGACACUGAGGUGCGAAAGCGUGGGGAGCAAACAGGAUUAGAUACCCCCGUAGUCCCUGUCUCUUAUCC